UUCAUGUCUUUGGAUCAUUCUCAGGAAUGUUUCCCUGACUAACACUAACGGCUCAUUGUUCGGAACAAAUAGCAAAAGUUAGAGGUUAAUAGUUAAGGACAUCACAAAAUCAGAUCUUGGUUUGUGGAAGGACUCGAAUCCACUACCUUAAACAUGACUGGUCGACCAAGGAGGCACCUCUUUGAACUUGAUGAAGGCUUACAAACAAAUUUCGAACAAAGCGUACAUGAGUCUGAAGAUUUAUGUUACAAAUAUGUAAUAUAAUAUAUUUCAAAGUCAUAUUAUUAUUGUAUAAGGGGAAUAAAUAUUUCUGUUACUAAAUAGUUAUUUAUAAUUAUAGUUAAAAGUAAUUUAUUUAUUACGCCCUUCUGUUCCAAAGGGCCGUAAGGCCUUAGACGCCCAGUUCCACUACAACGAACGAACGAACGAGCCCUUCUGUUCCAUAGUCAAAGAUUUUAAGCACUUGCCCAAUCUGACUUCCGGUCAGUAGCAUAUCAACCCAAUCAGACUGGAAUGAUCUGAUGACGUAUUAUAUGAGUAAUUCACUGUUCGGAAAAGAAUACAGUCACUCGAAAAAAUAUUUCUUCGAGUGACUGUAAGCAAAGAUCCUGUCCUUCACCCAAUCCAAGAACCCAAGAAAAGAAUAUUCGAAGUUAAGGAAUUUGGUGUUUCUUAGAUUUUAAGUUCUCCUCGUUCACCUGAAAACCUAGCAGCCCCUGUCUACUGAGUUUUGAAAACAGUACAUUUGUGACAUUGUCUGCAGCCAAAUCAUGGAAAACAGUGGAAGCUUCCGAUUGGGUGUUUGCGCUACCUGUGUUGCAGUUGGAGUUGUCAUAGUUACUGCGUUGCCUAUUAUUCCUGAAGGUGGUAUGAGGGAUGGUCUCAGUUCGCUUGCUGCCCUCAGUGUUUUCGGUGGACUCAUUGGUUGCGUUUUAUCUUCUCGUGGACCUCUUACUGCCGCAGUGGAUGCAAACAACAACUUGACGACUGGAUAAACUAAUAAAACUCCCAGUUGAUGGAUAAUUAUGGACAGAUUUUAUGAGAAAUGUUAAUGUUUUUGUAAAUUUUCUAUUUAAAGAGCUUUUGUUUAA